AGAGUUUGAUCCUGGCUCAGGACGAACGCUGGCGGCAGGCUUAACACAUGCAAGUCGAACGAUGACUCUCUAGCUUGCUAGAGAAGAUUAGUGGCGGACGGGUGAGUAACAUUUAGGAAUCUGCCUAGUAGUGGGGGAUAGCUCGGGGAAACUCGAAUUAAUACCGCAUACGACCUACGGGUGAAAGGGGGCGCAAGCUCUUGCUAUUAGAUGAGCCUAAAUCAGAUUAGCUAGUUGGUGGGGUAAAGGCCCACCAAGGCGACGAUCUGUAACUGGUCUGAGAGGAUGAUCAGUCACACCGGAACUGAGACACGGUCCGGACUCCUACGAGAGGCAGCAGUGGGGAAUAUUGGACAAUGGGGGCAACCCUGAUCCAGCCAUGCCGCGUGUGUGAAGAAGGCCUUUUGGUUGUAAAGCACUUUAAGCAGGGAGGAGAGGCUAAUGGUUAAUACCCAUUAGAUUAGACGUUACCUGCAGAAUAAGCACCGGCUAACUCUGUGCCAGCAGCCGCGGUAAUACAGAGGGUGCGAGCGUUAAUCGGAAUUACUGGGCGUAAAGCGAGUGUAGGUGGCUCAUUAAGUCACAUGUGAAAUCCCCGGGCUUAACCUGGGAACUGCAUGUGAUACUGGUGGUGCUAGAAUAUGUGAGAGGGAAGUAGAAUUCCAGGUGUAGCGGUGAAAUGCGUAGAGAUCUGGAGGAAUACCGAUGGCGAAGGCAGCUUCCUGGCAUAAUAUUGACACUGAGAUUCGAAAGCGUGGGUAGCAAACAGGAUUAGAUACCCUGGUAGUCCACGCCGUAAACGAUGUCUACUAGCCGUUGGGGUCCUUGAGACUUUAGUGGCGCAGUUAACGCGAUAAGUAGACCGCCUGGGGAGUACGGCCGCAAGGUUAAAACUCAAAUGAAUUGACGGGGGCCCGCACAAGCGGUGGAGCAUGUGGUUUAAUUCGAUGCAACGCGAAGAACCUUACCUGGUCUUGACAUAGUGAGAAUCUUUCAGAGAUGAGAGAGUGCCUUCGGGAAUUCACAUACAGGUGCUGCAUGGCUGUCGUCAGCUCGUGUCGUGAGAUGUUGGGUUAAGUCCCGCAACGAGCGCAACCCUUUUCCUUAUUUGCCAGCGGGUUAAGCCGGGAACUUUAAGGAUACUGCCAGUGACAAACUGGGGGAAGGCGGGGACGACGUCAAGUCAUCAUGGCCCUUACGACCAGGGCUACACACGUGCUACAAUGGUAGGUACAGAGGGUUGCUACACAGCGAUGUGAUGCUAAUCUCAAAAAGCCUAUCGUAGUCCGGAUUGGAGUCUGCAACUCGACUCCAUGAAGUCGGAAUCGCUAGUAAUCGCGGAUCAGAAUGCCGCGGUGAAUACGUUCCCGGGCCUUGUACACACCGCCCGUCACACCAUGGGAGUCUAUUGCACCAGAAGUAGGUAGCCUAACGAAAGAGGGCGCUUACCACGGUGUGGUCGAUGACUGGGGUGAAGUCGUAACAAGGUA
rnacentral:rRNA from 2 species